UACGUAGGGUGCAAGCGUUAAUCGGAAUUACUGGGCGUAAAGCGUGCGCAGGCGGUUUUGUAAGUCUGUCGUGAAAUCCCCCGGGCUCAACCUGGGAAUUGCGAUGGAGACUGCAAGGCUAGAAUCUGGCAGAGGGGGGUAGAAUUCCACGUGUAGCAGUGAAAUGCGUAGAGAUGUGGAGGAACACCGAUGGCGAAGGCAGCCCCCUGGGUCAAGAUUGACGCUCAUGCACGAAAGCGUGGGGAGCAAACGAGGAUUAGAGUACCCUGG
rnacentral:rRNA from 1 species